rnacentral:piRNA from 1 species
GUUCUGUCGGAGGACCAGAGUUUGA